GAGUUUGAUCCUGGCUCAGAUUGAACGCUGGCGGCAGGCCUAACACAUGCAAGUCGAACGGUAACAGGAAACAGCUUGCUGUUUCGCUGACGAGUGGCGGACGGGUGAGUAAUGUCUGGGAAACUGCCUGAUGGAGGGGGAUAACUACUGGAAACGGUAGCUAAUACCGCAUAACGUAGCAAGACCAAAGAGGGGGACCUUCGGGCCUCUUGCCAUCGGAUGUGCCCAGAUGGGAUUAGCUAGUAGGUGGGGUAACGGCUCACCUAGGCGACGAUCCCUAGCUGGUCUGAGAGGAUGACCAGCCACACUGGAACUGAGACACGGUCCAGACUCCUACGGGAGGCAGCAGUGGGGAAUAUUGCACAAUGGGCGCAAGCCUGAUGCAGCCAUGCCGCGUGUAUGAAGAAGGCCUUCGGGUUGUAAAGUACUUUCAGCGGGGAGGAAGGGAGUAAAGUUAAUACCUUUGCUCAUUGACGUUACCCGCAGAAGAAGCACCGGCUAACUCCGUGCCAGCAGCCGCGGUAAUACGGAGGGUGCAAGCGUUAAUCGGAAUUACUGGGCGUAAAGCGCACGCAGGCGGUUUGUUAAGUCAGAUGUGAAAUCCCCGGGCUCAACCUGGGAACUGCAUCUGAUACUGGCAAGCUUGAGUCUCGUAGAGGGGGGUAGAAUUCCAGGUGUAGCGGUGAAAUGAGUAGA
rnacentral:rRNA from 1 species